rnacentral:rRNA from 1 species
GACAGAGGGUGCAAACGUUGUUCGGAAUUACUGGGCGUAAAGGGCGCGUAGGCGGUCCGAUAAGUCCCGUGUGAAAUCCCUCGGCUCAACUGAGGAACCGCACGGGAAACUGCCGGGCUUGAGUUCGGGAGAGGGAAGCGGAAUUCCGGGUGUAGCGGUGAAAUGCGUAGAUAUCCGGAGGAACACCGGUGGCGAAGGCGGCUUCCUGGACCGACACUGACGCUGAGGCGCGAAAGCUAGGGGAGCAAACGGG